rnacentral:SRP_RNA from 1 species
CUUAGGUCCUCCCGCAACGCUAAACUGCGAACCCCGCCAGGCCCGGAAGGGAGCAACGGUAGUGGUGGCUGCGUGUGCCGGGGAUGUGGCUUUUGGGG